rnacentral:rRNA from 1 species
UACGUAGGUGGCAAGCGUUGUCCGGAUUUAUUGGGUUUAAAGGGUGCGUAGGUGGCCCUGUAAGUCAGUGGUGAAAUAUCUCAGCUUAACUGAGAGGGUGCCAUUGAUACUGCAGGGCUUGAGUACAGAUGAGGUAGGCGGAAUUGACGGUGUAGCGGUGAAAUGCGUAGAUAUCGGGAGGAACACCUGUGGUGUAGACGGCUUAGGGGACCGCCACUGACGCUGAGGCACGAAAGCGUGGGUAGCAAACAGG